GCACAAGUAGCUCAGUUGGGUAGAGGCUUGGCUAUGGCUCUGGAGGUCGAAGGUUCAAUCCCCGCCGUGGUA